UAUACAUAGUAGGUGAACCACAAUACAAUAAUGCACAUAUAAAAAAACUUAUGUUGCAAGUUAAGAUAUAUGUCUUGCAAAUUGGAUACAUAUCAAAGGUCAUAUUGAAUGUUGUACUUAUUGUUGUUUCUCAUUUGAGAAAUAACAAUAAGUAUGAAAAUAUCAUCAUUUCCUUGUAGCACGAAUACCAAGAAAGAAGGUUGUAUGAUAUGAUGGGAUAUAGACGUGCCUAAAGUGACCAAUAUGCUGAUGUGUAGAAGACUAGCAGACGGAUUCCUCUCAAGAUUGAUUAGUUCAUGGGAUUGUACAAGAGUCAAGGUACUAUAUUCUUAAGAUUGCGAGGUGGGGACGCCAUGUGUAGCAGACUGAUUGCAUGGUGGGCAACAAGACUGGUGCCCUGGCGAUGCUCGGAACAAAGGAAUGCACCAUUCUUGCAAGGAGAAUCUGACCAUGUCCUCGUCAAGCUCCUUGUUAUUUAUGUCCAUGGCUUCAGAGUGAAAGAUAAUCUGGGAUAGCAAGUAAGAUCUCAUAUUCGCAAGCUGGAGCUACCGCAGGAACUACUGUUCAUAUUCCCUGUCUGCAAGUUCGAUUCUGAAAAUCAGAACUUUAAUGUCGGUAAUUUGCACCCCAAUCCAUCCUCCAUCUACAGAUCAGAGUCUAGUUGUCAUCCGUUGUAGGUACGUAGAUCCGGUGACACAUAGCAGAAGACUAGAGGAAGGAGUGCGUCUCACGAUGUUACGAUGCGGGUGCUGUUAACGAGGUUGAAAACGAGAUAAGUCAGAGGUAGCUUGCCACACAUUCCCUCAGCACUAGUAAGAGCUCGGGAGUUUGAACUGCAUUUCCCCAUAAGCAUGACAGAGAUGAAGUGUGGAGCGGAACAAGAUGCGGAAACAUAGUCAGCGUGGUGUUCACUAGGGAAUGAAUCGGGGAAGUUGUGGUGACGAAAAGUUGGGAGGAUCUUCGGCAGAAGAAGUCAGGCAAGGAUGACGAUGUCAAUUUGUUCUCUCCAAUGCUCGUUCGCCACACCAUCCCUACCGAGGGGCUCUUGAAUAGGCACGCCUCGAUUCCGUGACGGGAGACAGCAUCUUCGUGACAAGCCUACUUCGAUUCCCACAAGCCGGUGGGUCUUUGCUGGGGGAUCAAUAGACGACUAACGCACAGUUCUUCGCCUUCGAUCAUUCCCAUCCGUGCCCCUGUAACUGGGCUCGGCAUAGGGCACAAGUUUACAACUGAACCUAAUCUUAUCACGGUUGCUGGCCCCACCGGUUUACACGGUAAACGAGCUUGGAUGCAUGGCUGCAUGCCACUUGGCGGGUUCGAUACGCAGGUUCGUCUUUUUAAUGAUUUUGUAACUGAGAAAAAUGUUGACUAUUGGAGAAUGGGAUCUGGCGAGGCUUCCCUCACCAUGCCAAAUUUGCGUAGCUCUAGCGUAAAUCUGGUGGGUGGCGUGCCUUUGUGCAGUGCGCGGGAUGUGCCACGCCAUAAUCUUGGUUUCGGUCUUUGAAACUGGGCCGAUGGGGGUGCUCUUGACCUUGUCUAUGAAGUAAUCCUGGAAACUGGGUACCCCAAAAUGAGGUAAUUCACACUCAAGUGAUUGUACGGCAGUAUUUUAUCUGGUGUUCCAGGUUAAAUUGUCCUGUGCUCAGAUGUGCUUGUGUUUACUGAUUGCUACCAUGCACAAAGACGACCCUGUCGUAGUAAGUGACAAGUAUCGUCUUUUGUCUUGCAAAAAUGAGACGCAUUUGCUUCGCUGAUCGUAUGUGAAA